rnacentral:rRNA from 1 species
CCUACGGGGGGCAGCAGUGGGGAAUAUUGGUCAAUGGAGGCAACCCUGAACCAGCAACGCCGCGUGAAUGAUGAAGGUUUUCGGAUUGUAAAGUUCUUUUCUCAGGGAAGAAGAAAGUGACGGUACCUUAGGAAUAAGCCUCGGCUAACUACGUGCCAGCAGCCGCGGUAAUACGUAGGAGGCAAGCGUUAUCCGGAAUGACUGGGCGUAAAGGGUGCGUAGGUGGUUGGACAAGUAGGUAGCGUAACCCCGAGGCUCAACCUCGGCACUACUACCAAAACUGUUGGACUUGAGUGCAGGAGGGGCAAUUGGAAUUCCUAGUGUAGCGGUGGAAUGCGCAGAUAUUAGGAGGAACACCAGUGGCGAAGGCGAAUUGCUGGACUGUAACUGACACUGAGGCACGAAAGCGUGGGGAGCAAACAGGAUUAGAUACCCCUGUAGUC